rnacentral:rRNA from 1 species
CACGGAGGGUGCAAGCGUUAUCCGGAUUCACUGGGUUUAAAGGGUGCGUAGGCGGAAAAUUAAGUCAGUGGUGAAAGCCCCGAGCUCAACUUGGGAACUGCCAUUGAUACUGAUUUUCUUGAGUGUGGUUGAAGUGGGCGGAAUAUAACAUGUAGCGGUGAAAUGCUUAGAUAUGUUAUAGAACACCGAUUGCGAAGGCAGCUCACUAAACCAUUACUGACGCUGAGGCACGAAAGCGUGGGGAGCGAACAGG